GACGAACGCUGGCGGCGUGCCUAAUACAUGCAAGUCGAACGCAGUGGGGACGGGUGAGUAACACGUGGUAACCUACCCAUCAGAGGGGAUAACACUUGGAAACCGGUGCUAAACCGAUACUGAUGGAUGGACCCGCGGUGCAUUAGCUAGUUGGUGAGGUAACGGCUCACCAAGGCCACGAUCCAUAGCCGAAGCGAGAGGGUGAUCGGCAACACGGGGAAUGAGACACGGCCCAGAAUCCGACGGGAGGCAGCAGUAGGGAAUCUUCGGCAAUGGACGAAAGGCUGACCGAGCAACUCCGCGUGAGUGAAGAAGGUUUUCGGAUCGUAAAUCUCUGUUGUUAGAGAAGCGGUAUCUAACCAGAAAGCCACGGAUAACGACGUGCCAGCGGCCGCGGUAAUU
rnacentral:rRNA from 1 species